GCCCUCAUAGCUCAGUUGGAUAGAGCGCGCCCCUCCUAAGGGUGAAACCUGCGUUCGAAUCGCGGUGGGGGUA
rnacentral:tRNA from 1 species